rnacentral:rRNA from 1 species
ACUCCUACGGGAGGCAGCAGUGAGGAAUAUUGGUCAAUGGAGGGAACUCUGAACCAGCCAUCCCGCGUGUAGGAAGACGGCCUUAUGGGUUGUAAACUACUUUUAUACAGGAAGAAACGUACCCUCGUGAGGGUGCCUGACGGUACUGUAGGAAUAAGCACCGGCUAACUCCGUGCCAGCAGCCGCGGUAAUACGGAGGGUGCGAGCGUUAUCCGGAUUUAUUGGGUUUAAAGGUCCGUAGGCGGAUUAAUAAGUCAGUGGUGAAAUCCCAUCGCUUAACGAUGGAACUGCCAUUGGAUACUGUUAGUCUUGAAUGAGGGUGCAGUGGUUGGAAUGUGUAGUGUAGCGGUGAAAUGCGAUAGAUAUUACACAGAACACCGAUUGCGAAGGCAGAUCACUAACCCUAAUUGACGCCUGAGGGACGAAGCGUGGGGAGCGAACAGGAUUAGAUACCCUGUAGCGACU